rnacentral:lncRNA from 1 species
CAAUAGACCCCUUGUUAGAAUCAUGUUUUAGAAUGCUUAAAAUAUGGGGGAAAAAAUGUAAUUGUAAUGUAUACAUGUAAGGAUAACCUUACCCCCUUGCUGUACAUGGGAAAAUAAAAAAAAUUUAAAAAAAAAAAGAAUGCUUAAAAUAAAAUACAUAACAGAGUUCCCUUGUGAUGCAGUGGGUUAAGGAUCUGGCAUUGUCACUGCAGCAGUCCCUGGCCUGGGAACUUCCCACAUGUGAUGGCCAAAAAAAAAAACCCCAAAACAAAACAAAAAAAUAAAAAUACAUGAUUACAAAGGAAAUUAAUUCAAUACUAGUUAUCAGUUAUCAAAUCAUUUUUUUAAAUAUGUGGUGUGUUUAUUAACAAAAUAAGAUCUAGCAGCAGAUUUAAUCACAACUGUGAUUUUGAAAGUGAUAGACAUGAUACUUGAAGAUUAUCUGCAUUCGGAGAUCCUGGUGGCUCAGCAGUUUAAGGAUUCAGCAUUGUCAUUGCUGUGGUAUGGUUCAGUUCCUGGCUCUGGAACUUUUGCAUGCCAUUGGUGCAGCCAAAAAACUUUUGUAGAAAAAAAUUUUUUUUUUUUUUUGUCUUUUGUCCUUUUAGGGCCGCACCUGUGGCAUAUAGAAGUUCCCAGGCUAGGGGUCCAAUCAGAGCCACAGCUGCUGGCCUACACCACAGCCACAGCAAUGCUGGAUCCCUAAUGCACAGAGCAAGGCCAGGGAUUGAACCUGCAACCUCAUGGUUCCUAGUCAGAUUCAUUUCUGCUGCGCCAUGACGGGAACUCCCGGAAAAAAAAACAUUUUUUAAAAAAUUCUAAUGAUGUAAGAAUACCUGUGGUUUUUAUGGUUAAAAAAUUAUUAUAAAUACUUCUAUAUUUCUGUGGCUUUGCUGCCAACAUUUAUUAUUGAAGGAAAUAGUAUAUUUCAAUAAAAUGUUAAUGAAAAUAGAGUUAAUUGUUUGGCCAUUCAAAUUCAUGGUAUUCUUGAAAUCAGAUAUGGUAGGCUUAAGUUUGGUUGCUGUGACCUUCACCUCCUGGUGUUAUUCAAUGGUUAUGUUACUUGCAUACAAAAGGGACUUGACAGAUAUAAGUAAAGUCACUAAUCAGCUGACUUAAAAUGAGCAGAUUAGCAUAAAUCAUCUGGGUGGGACACCCCAGCAUAAUCGUAAGAACCUUAAAACCCAGAAAAGGAGGAUAGGAGAGGAAGGCAGAGAUGCGGCACGGCAUGUGGGGAAAUCUGAAAUUGAAAGCGUAAGAACAGCUCAACUCACUUUUGCUGACUUAAAUACAGAGGGGACUACAGAGAAAGCAUGAGAAGGAAAUAAAAUUUGCCAACAACCUGAAUGAGAUUGGACAUGAAACUCUGUGAGCUAAGUAGGUGUUGUUUAACCAGCUCAGUUUGUGAUAAUUUGUCGUGUCAGCAACAGAAAACCAACAUAAGGGACUCCAGGGUAUAAAUAACCCCUGCUCCUUUGUUUAAGGCGCAAAACAUAAGGAAAUUAGGUCCUGAAAGUUUUGUAAAGAAGAGCUCUUCAACAACUGAGACCAGCUGGACUAUUAAUAACAGAGCAAUAAAUUGCUAUCUUUCAUAAGUUAAUAAAGCUCUGCUUAUGAAACAGUAUUUUUUUAUGUCAAGUGUGGAACAAGGAAAGGCCCAGAACCAAGUCUUGAAAAACUCCAGUGUUUAAUGGUGACGGAAGAUACACCUUAAAGAAAUGUGGGAAGAGCCAGAAAGAGAGAAGAAAAACUAGGAGAAUGAUAUCACCCAGGCAGAGAAGGAGAGCCAUUCACAUGCGUGAAAAACGUCAGCCCUGUUAAAGAUCAAGUAAGAAUAAACUGCAAAAUACCCUUUGAAUUUGACCAGAUGGGUAAGCCCGAGCCUGGAAACAAACACGAAGGACCAAGAACAGGCAAAACAAUCCUGAAGAAGAAUAGUUAAAGGACUUCCACAAACUGAUUUAAAGACUUAGUAUACAGAGAACUCUACCCAAUAUUCUAUGAUAAUCUAGGUGGGAAGAGAAUCUGAAAGAGAAUGGAUAUGUGUACACGUAUAACUGAAUCACUUUUUCGUAUAGCGGAAAUGAUCACAACACUGUAAAUCAACUGUA